rnacentral:rRNA from 1 species
GAUGAACGCUGGCGGCGUGCCUAAUACAUGCAAGUCGAGCGAACGGACGAGAAGCUUGCUUCUCUGAUGUUAGCGGCGGACGGGUGAGUAACACGUGGAUAACCUACCUAUAAGACUGGGAUAACUUCGGGAAACCGGCGCUAAUACCGGAUGAUAUUUUGAACCGCAUGGUUCAAAAGUGAAAGACGGUCUUGCUGUCACUUAUAGAUGGAUCCGCGCUGCAUUAGCUAGUUGGUACGGUAACGGCUUACCAAGGCAACGAUGCAUAGCCGACCUGAGAGGGGGAUCGGCCACACUGGAACGGAGACACGGACCAGACGCCUACGGGAGGCAGCAGUAGGGAAUGUGCCGCAAUGGGCGAAAGCCUGACGGAGCAACGCCGCGUGAGUGAUGAAGGUCUUCGGAUCGUAAAACUCGGUUAUUAGGGAAGAACAGAUGUGUAAGUAACUGUGCACAGCGUGACGGUACCUAAUCAGAAAGCCACGGCUAACUACGUG